UAGGGAAUCUUCGGCAAUGGGGGCAACCCUGACCGAGCAACGCCGCGUGAGUGAAGAAGGUUUUCGGAUCGUAAAGCUCUGUUGUAAGAGAAGAACGUGUGUGAGAGUGGAAAGUUCACACAGUGACGGUAACUUACCAGAAAGGGACGGCUAACUACGUGCCAGCAGCCGCGGUAAUACGUAGGUCCCGAGCGUUGUCCGGAUUUAUUGGGCGUAAAGCGAGCGCAGGCGGUUUAAUAAGUCUGAAGUUAAAGGCAGUGGCUUAACCAUUGUUCACUUUGGAAACUUUUAACCUUGAGUGCAGAAUGGGAGAGUGGAAUUCCAUGUGGAGCGGUGAAAUGCGUAGAUAUAUGGAGGAACACCGGUGGCGAAAGCGGCUCUCUGGUCUGUAACUGACGCUGAGGCUCGAAAGCGUGGGGAGCAAACAGG
rnacentral:rRNA from 1 species